rnacentral:piRNA from 1 species
UNGCCUUGUAAGCUUGGGGCAACAGCAUU